AGCACAUCUGGUACCUACGCUGUACACCUACUAGAGUCUCUGCAAGGUGACAGCUCACAUGAAAAAGAAGUGGAGACAACAGGAAGUGUGGAGGUCUGCAGAGGUAGGAGCUGACAGUGGAGGUCUGCAGCCAGACUGUCUUGGAUCUUUGAAUAUGUCUUGGAAGGGGGAAGUAUCUGAAGCUCACAAUCGAAGUUGGUCAUGCCUUACUGAUAUCUAAAUGGAUGAAUGAAUGCCACCUUUAACUCAAUCUCUCAAAGACUGAGUUACUUGUCAUCCUAGCCAGUCACUCUAUCCAACCCAGAUCAAUACCCAGCUUGGUACAACCAAACUCAUGCCAACAAAGUCUUUCUGGAACCUGGGUGUCAUGAUUGAUGACCAGCUUACAUUUAAGGUUCAACUGUAGAACAUCAGGAAGAUCAGACCUUGCCUGUCAGAGCUUACUACACGGCUCCUGGUACAGGCUCUUGUGAUAUCACGCAUUUACUAUUGCAACUAUCAAACAAGUGCAGAUGAUCCAAAAUGCAGCAAUGCGACUGGCCUUCAUCCUACCCAAAACAGCACAUGUCCCCCCUGCUGUUCAUCUGGCUCUCAGUUACUGCUACAUCAAAUUUAAAACCCUACUGCUCUCUUACAAAAUAGAAGUGCUGUUUGAAAGCCAAGUCAGCUCAUGUCUGCAGAAGUUUAGCCCGUAGCAUGAUAAUAUAGACAGCAUAUUGUCCCGGGUUCAGGUUACGAUAGCUCCGGCUGCUAAUUAUCUGAGCCGCGCAUGUGCAAAGUUUCUUAUGUGUUGAAACUAACGUUACUGUACAUACUCUGCACAGUUGUAUCAACCAGAAUAAUGACUUCAAACUUUAUUCCAUCUUUCUAAAAAGGCGAUCAGUAUCAUCUCCAGCAACAAAUGCAGCCUACAACCCUGCCAGAGUCUUACAGUCAGACCGCGACAGGUGUUCAGCUACUGAAUGAGGUAGAGGAGGAGGCUGAUGUCUUGUAAUCCAG